CCAGCAGCUGCGGUAAUUCCAGCUCCACUAGCGUAUGUUAAAGUUGCUGCAGUUAAAACGCUCGUAGUUGUGGUUAGGCUGGGCGCGAAGACUGCGCAUGAAAGUGCACGGUUAUCGCUCCUGGCGAUCCGCUGGAAUGUUUGUUAACUCAUUCAUUCCUUGUAAACCUUGAAGAAAUGUUAUCGCUCAAAACUGGUCUUAGGACCCAGUUCCUUUUGCAUGGGAUUUUGGAAUAUGUGCGAUUCGGGUAACGCCAGGUCGCAAAUGACAUUUGAGGAAGAAAGAGGCAGUCUGUACUGGUUGGCAAGAGGUGAAAUUCUUUGAUUCAACCAUGACAAACUGAGGCGAAGGCUUUCUGCAAUUGCUUUCCUGUCAAUCAAGAACGAAAGU
rnacentral:rRNA from 1 species